CUGACCUGGAGUCGAGUGUCCAUCACAAAGCCCUGACCUGGAGUGGAGUGUCCAUCACAAAGCCCUGACCUGGAGUGGAGUGUCCAUCACAAAGCCCUGACCUCAAUCCUAUAGAACAUUUGUGGGCAGAGCUGAAAGUGUACAAGCAAGGAGGCCUUGCAAACUUGACUCGGUUACACCAGCUCUGUCAGGAGGAAUGGGCCAAAAUUCACCCAAUUUAUUGUGGGAAGCUUGUGGAAGGCUAACCAAAAUGUUUGACCCAAGUUAAACAAUUUAAAGGCAAUGCUACCAAAUACUAAUUGAGUGUAUGUAAACUUCUGACCCACAUUCUCUCUACUAUUAUUCUGACAUUUCAUGUUCUUAAAAUAAAGUGAUUUUUACUAGGAUUAAAUGUCAGGAAUUGUGAAAAACUAAGUUUAGAUGUAUUUGGCUAAGGUGUAUGUAAACUUAGUUUUAGUAACGUACUGAGCUGAUGGAGGAAUUUAGUAACGUACUGGAGGAUGAAAGACGACACCUGGGCUGUUUUAUGCGACAUAUUUAAAUGAUUGACAUGAAAGAGGAGAGGGACACAAAUCAGAUGAAGGCUGCUGGGAAAAACUUCAAAGCGAAAGCCAAAAAUAAUGCAGCAGAUGAGAGGCGGAAGAUAUUUCAGACCACAGUCUCUCUCUCAGGACAUAUGUGAUGAUACCCGAACAGUUAACCCUAUGAUGACAACGGACAACUAGUCCCACCAAUAUUUAGUAAGCAUAAAUAACUGGUUAACAUCAAUGACUACAAUGCAUGUCAAAACUACCCAGUGGUGUAAAGUACUUAAGUUAAAAUAUAUUAAAGUACUACUUAAGUCAGUUUUUUGGGUAUCUGUACUUUACUAUUUAUAUAUUGGACAACUUUUAUUUUUACUUCACUACAUUCCUAAAGAAAAGACUUAAACAACAUUUUACUCCAUACAUUUUCUUGAAUACUUAGCAGGACAGGAACCUGGUCCAAUUCGGGCACUUAUCGAGAGAACAUCCCCUGGUCAUCCCCACUGCAUCUGAUCUGGCAGACUCACUAAACACAAAUGUUUCAUUUGUAAAUGAUGUCUGAGUGUUGGAGUGUGACACUGGCAAACUGUCAAUGUAUGUAUGUAAUAAAACCGUGCCAUCUGGAUUUCUUAAUGUAAGGAACAUUAAAUAAUUCAUACUUUUACUUUUGAUACUUAAGAACAUUUAAAACCAAAUACUUUUGACUUUUUACUCAAGUAGUAUUUUACUGGCUGACUUUUACUGGAGUUAUUUUCUAUUAAGAUAUCAUUACUUUUACAACAGUGUGAAAUGACUUUUUCCACCACUGAAACUAACGCUAAUAGUAUUUCACUAGAAUGUUACUGUUCUCAGUCCCGUUACAGCAUGUUGCAUAACGUCAUCAUUCUACCAAGGUGUAUCACAAGCUCUAAUUCAAUUACAAAAUGGGAAGGUAAGUUCUAAUAAGGAGUUGAUUCUCUUCAGUUGAGCCGACACCCUGUUGUCGUAGAGAAACAGCAAUGCCUGGAUCUUGAACUAGCCGGGCCAAUCGAACGCCCCCAGAACCCAAGACUAAAACAGCUCAUAUUGAUGUUUUGGCGCAGGAGGGAGAGAAAAAUAUUCCGCAGACUGAGAUUCUGAGUUUACAAAAAAGAGCUACUGCGAAUUCAGAAACAGAAACGCCUUCAGGGGAACAAAUGUGGAAAGAAUGCUAAUCUUGUUAUUUAUUAAAACAAUGCUUUCCCUAGCAAUGUGGUGCCCCCACUCAUGUUCUGGUGCUUCCAGUUCCCCCCUUUAUGAUCGAGAAUAACAAAUGACUUAAUAAUGCAUUUUAAUACAGAUAGUCUUAUUAAGAAUUGCACGUCAGUCAAAAUAUAAUAUUGCUUUUUACAUGUUACACUAUACACACACAUGUUAGGCUGCAAAAAUGGUUCUCAAUCAAAGUUCUCCUCAUCGCAUUCACAUCAACAGCAUGUUGCACCUGGCCAUCUUCUCCAUUCUCCUCAUCCUCCUCAGGUAGGUCCUCCUCAGCCUCCUCAGGUAGCUUGUCUCCUUGUCUCUUGCUAAAGUUAUACAGAACUUCCACUGCAAUAGUGAUUGUCAGUGUAGUGUCCAUCUUCAUGCAGAGCACCACCUGUAGGGGAGGGAAUCUUUUCUUCCAUACUACAAAAACUCUAUGAGAUCUCUUGUCAGGAUAUGAGAGGUGGUGUGUUCUCUCUCUAUGAAAUCUAUUGUCAGGAUAUGAGAGGUGGUGUGUUCUCUCUCUAUGAGAUCUCUUGUCAGGAUAUGAGAGGUGGUGCAUUCUCUCUCUAUGAGAUCUCUUGUCAGGAUAUGAGGUGGUGGAUUGUCUCUCUUCAGGUGUCUGGGGGUUUAAAAGGGGAGUCAUAAGGUUCCCAUGACAAGAAUAUCCAUUGUUACGUAGUAGGGGGCCUUCAUAUGCUCCCCGUUCCAGCAUUGCACACAGACGACUAUUGUCAAAGUAUCUGCUGUCAUGGGUGGAUCCUGGCCGUCUUGCUAGGAUGUUGGUGAGCUGACCUUUGACAUCACAGACAGCCUGCAUGUUGACGGAGCAGUAACCUUUCUGAUUACAGAAUAGUUCUCCAUUCCCACCACCAGGGUUCGGAAUAGGAAUGUGUGUCCAGUCUAUUGCCCAUAGUACACACGGGAAUCUAGCUUUCAUCUCAAAAUCCAGCUGCUGUUUCCUCUGUAGGACUGAACCUGAUGUACUCGUUCUUCAGGCCGGCAAAAGCACUGGACACUACAAUCCUGUAGACGGUUGACUUGUGGAGUCCAGAAAGGUCCACAUCCAUCCACCAUCUGGAAACAUCCAGUUACAUAGAACCGUAGAGUCAUCAGGAGCUGAAGUAGUAGGGGUACAUCCUCGUUACCGUCGUUCCCACGCUUGGUCCAACCUUUCUUUCCAGUUGCAUUACAGAUUCCUUGGAGAAGCGGCAUCUCCUUGAAAACUCAUCAUUAUAAAAAAAACUCAACAGGAUACAACCUGUCUCGUAAUGUUCUCUGAGGAACUCUGUCGUUCUGGUCUCUCCACAGUCGAUAUCCUGUCAUUUUAUCAGUUCAACCACAUCAAAUGGCAGUUCAGAAUCUCCAAUCUAAGUUUAUAUUCAAGCUUAAAAUGACUCUAGGUUUAAAGUGAAAACUAAAACUUAUGAUUAGAAGAAGGAUUCAUUUUAACUAGGAUUCAUUUAAAAAUAGAUUUAAAGUUUGGUGCAACAAGAUGAAGAUGAAACUGGGUUAAAUGAAGGCUUAAGAGUUCCUCCAUGUUGGUGCAACCCACCCUGUAUAUUGGGUUUUCCUAGAUUUAGGCAGAUCCCUGUAUUUGGCAUGACAAUGAGAGGUAGUUGCAUGACGGCACCAACAAACUGGCCCUCAGGUCAGCUGUAUUAGAGGUGAUAUCACUCAGGUCAGCUGUAUUAGAGGUGAUAUCACUCAGGUUAGCUGUAUUAGAGGUGAUAUCACUCAGGUUAGCUGUAUUAGAGGUGAUAUCACUCAGGUUAGCUGUAUUAGAGGUGAUAUCACCCAGGUUAGCUGUAUUAGAGGUGAUAUCACUCAGGUUAGCUGUAUUAGAAGUGAUAUCACUCAGGUUAGCUGUAUUAGAGGUGAUAUCACUCAGGUUAGCUGUAUUAGAGGUGAUAUCACCCAGGUUAGCUGUAUUAGAGGUGAUAUCACUCAGGUUAGCUGUAUUAGAGGUGAUAUCACUCAGGUCAGCUGUAUUAGAGGUGAUAUCACUCAGGUCAGCUGUAUUAGAGUUGCCCAUCAAUUGCAUUAAUGCCAUCAAUACACCUCCUGUAAGCAAUUCAGGCCAUCUAUAGACCAUAACUGUAGAUUGACCAUAGGCAAGGGAGUGUCUCUCGAUCUUUGUCCAGGACAGAGUGUGUUAACCUGAAUGUCUGACAUUAAAACAUCUGGAAUGUACACACUUUAUGAUCAGUCGUGUUUGACAACGACAGACUUUGGGGUGGAAUCUGGCCAAAGCGAGAGUUUGGUAAAACAGGUCACCAAGCUUUCAGUUAAUGGAUCAACAUACUUGGCAACAGAAAGUUAAAAUUAUGAACAGGUCUAUGUCCCCAAUGGAACCCUAUUCCCUUUGUAGUGCACUACUUUAGACCAGGACCCAAUGGAAGCCUAUUCCCUUUGUAGUGCACUACUUUAGACCAGGACCAAUUUGGGACACAGGCCAGGUCUUGGCAGACUAACGACUUGGUUGGCCCCCUUUGGUCUGGCUCAACAACAGAAUACAGACAGUAACAAAUAUCUAAGUCGUGUGGUCACAAUGAAGGCCCAAAAGACCUGGGUAAAAGCUGUUCAGCCGUUUAGUCAAACCCUUCUUCCUAUUGUGAUGGUAAUGUGUUUAUAAUGAUAGUUAAGAAGUUUAGUCAGAGAGAGGGGGGAUACAGAGAGCUUCUGCAGGUAAGUCCUUCACAUCAUCAUACAUUAAAGUCUUUAAAUAGUUCAUGUGGUGUCAACACUUAACAGAAUAGAAAACAAAUAACUAACAACCAAUAAGAGUCUUGCAAUGAAUCUGCCCUCUGUUCCGACCUGUCUCCAUGGCAACACCCUGGUCAGUUAUAGUAGGUCCAAUUGUCCAUCUCCUGGCCACCCCUGGGCUGGGCUCCACACUGCAGCCCCCUCUCCUCUGGUCUCUAGCCCCAGUCCUCUCCUCCUGUCUCCAGCUCCUCUUCUGCUAGCUCCGGCCCUUCUCCUCUCCUCCUGUCUCCAGCCCCUCUCCUCUCCUCCUGUCUCCAGCCACUCUCCUCUCCUCCUGUCUCCAGCCCCUCUCCUCUCCUCCUGUCUCCAGCCCUCUCCUCUCCUCCUGUCUCCAGCCACUCUCCUCUCCUCCUGUCUCCAGCCACUCUCCUCUCCUCCUGUCUCCAGCCACUCUCCUCUCCUCCUGUCUCCAGCCCCUCUCCUCUCCUCCUGUCUCCAGCCCCUCUCCUCUCCUCCUGUCUCCAGCCCCUCUCCUCUCCUCCUGUCUCCAGCCCC
ensembl:lncRNA